rnacentral:rRNA from 1 species
GAUGAACGCUAGCUACAGGCUUAACACAUGCAAGUCGAGGGGCAGCAUGUUGGUUGCUUGCAACCAACGAUGGCGACCGGCGCACGGGUGAGUAACGCGUAUCCAACCUUACGCAUACUCGGGAAUAGCCUUUCGAAAGAAAGAUUAAUGCCCGAUGGUUUCCCGAAUCCGCAUGAGCGCGGGAAUAAAGAUUCAUCGGUAUGCGAUGGGGAUGCGUCCCAUUAGCGUGUUGGCGGGGUAACGGCCCACCAAGGCUACGAUGGGUAGGGGUUCUGAGAGGAAGGUCCCCCACAUUGGAACUGAGACGCGGUCCAAACUCCUACGGGAGGGAGCAGUGAGGAAUAUUGGUCAAUGGGCGAGAGCCUGAACCAGCCAAGUAGCGUGAGGGAUGACCGCCCUACGGGUCGUAAACCUCUUUUAUAAGGGAAUAAAGAUAAGUACGCGUACUUAGUUGCAUGUACCUUAUGAAUAAGCAUCGGCUAACUCCGUGCCAGCCGCCGCCGUAA